UGUGGGAUCUUGUUCUAUGUUUAGUAUUUUGUUAGUUUGUUCAGUGUUUCAUUCUUUAAAUAAAGAAGGAAUGUACGCAUAGCACGCUAUACCUUGGUCUCAUUCGUAUGACGAACGUGACAGCAGUUAAUGAUGACCUUGUUAUGAUGAGGUCCUCAUGUGUUUAGUUAUGAUGAGGUCCUCAUGUGUUUAGUUAUGAUGAGGUCCUCAUGUGUUUAGUUAUGAUGAGGUCCUCAUGUGUUUAGUCAUGAUGAGGUCCUCAUGUGUUUAGUUAUGAUGAGGUCCUCAUGUGUUUAGUUAUGAUGAGGUCCUCAUGUGUUUAGUUAUGAUGAGGUCCUCAUGUGUUUAGUCAUGAUGAGGUCCUCAUGUGUUUAGUCAUGAUGAGGUCCUCAUGUGUUUAGUUAUGAUGAGGUCCUCAUGUGUUUAGUUAUGAUGAGGUCCUCAUGUGUUUAGUUAUGAUGAGGUCCUCAUGUGUUUAGUCAUGAUGAGGUCCUCAUGUGUUUAGUUAUGAUGAGGUCCUCAUGUGUUUAGUUAUGAUGAGGUCCUCAUGUGUUUAGUUAUGAUGAGGUCCUCAUGUGUUUAGUUAUGAUGAGGUCCUCAUGUGUUUAGUUAUGAUGAGGUCUAGGACAGAUAAGGCAGUUAAUGAUGACCUUGUCCUCAUGUGUUUAGUUAUGAUGAGGUCUAGGACAGAUAAGGCAGUUAAUGAUGACCUUGUCCUCAUGUGUUUAGUCAUGAUGAGGUCUAGGACAGAUAAGGCAGUUAAUGAUGACCUUGUCCUCGUGUUUAGUCAUGAUGAGGUCUAGGACAGAUAAGGCAGUUAAUGAUGACCUUGUCCCCAUGUGUUUAGUCAUGAUGAGGUCUAGGACAGAUAAGGCAGUUAAUGAUGACCUUGUCCUCAUGUGUUUAGUUAUGAUGAGGUCCUCAUGUGUUUAGUUAUGAUGAGGUCUAGGACAGAUAAGGCAGUUAAUGAUGACCUUGUCCUCAUGUGUUUAGUUAUGAUGAGGUCCUCAUGUGUUUAGUUAUGAUGAGGUCUAGGACAGAUAGGGCAGUUAUUGUUUUUUUUUUUUAAAGUGUGUGUAUAUACAGUGCAUUCGUAAAGUAUUCAGACCCCUUGACUUUUUCCACAUUUUGUUACGUUACAGCCUUAUUCUAAAAUGGAUUAAAUAAAUAAAAAUCCUCAACAAUCCAAACACAAUACCCCAUAAUGACAACAGGAUUCGUUGGAAAAUUUAUAAAAAUUGAAAAACAGAUUCCUUAUUUACAUAAGUAUUCAGACCCUUUGCUAUGAGACUUGAAAUUGAGUU